AACGUAGGUGGCAAGCGUUAUCCGGAAUUACUGGGCGUAAAGGGUGUGCAGGCGGGGAAGCAAGGGGUGUAUGAAAUCUCCCAGCUUAACUGGGAUAGGUUAUGCCAGACUGCUUUUCUAGAGGACGAGAGAGGGGGGUGGAAUUCCGGGUGUAGUGGUGAAAUGCGUAGAGAUCCGGAGGAACCCCAGAGGCGAAGGCGGCCCCCUGGCUCGUACCUGACGCUCAGCCACGAAAGCAUGGGGAGCGAACGGG
rnacentral:rRNA from 1 species